rnacentral:rRNA from 1 species
GGCUGAUGGCGACCGGCGCACGGGUGAGUAACACGUAUCCAACCUGCCGUCUACUCUUGGCCAGCCUUCUGAAAGGAAGAUUAAUCCAGGAUGGGAUCAUGAGUUCACAUGUCCGCAUGAUUAAAGGUAUUUUCCGGUAGACGAUGGGGAUGCGUUCCAUUAGAUAGUAGGCGGGGUAACGGCCCACCUAGUCAACGAUGGAUAGGGGUUCUGAGAGGAAGGUCCCCCACAUUGGAACUGAGACACGGUCCAAACUCCUACGGGAGGCAGCAGUGAGGAAUAUUGGUCAAUGGGCGAUGGCCUGAACCAGCCAAGUAGCGUGAAGGAUGACUGCCCUAUGGGUUGUAAACUUCUUUUAUAAAGGAAUAAAGUCGGGUAUGCAUACCCGUUUGCAUGUACUUUAUGAAUAAGGAUCGGCUAACUCCGUGCCAGCAGCCGCGGUAAUACGGAGGAUCCGAGCGUUAUCCGGAUUUAUUGGGUUUAAAGGGAGCGUAGAUGGAUGUUUAAGUCAGU